CCAGAAAAGUGGCAUAAAAUGUCAGGACAUUCCUACUCACUUCCCUUUAAGUUUUGAGAGAACUUGCAAUAAAGCCCAUAACAGCCGUCACAACUCUCUGGGCAGGAAGCAGCAGCUACUUCAGAUAAGAUGCCUGUCUCCCUCGUGACCCACCCAGUAUGAAAAAAGGAUAGGUAGGACCAGGAGGAGAGUUGGAAGGAGCAGAGACUAGAGAAGGAAGGAAUUGUUCAUUCUAUCUCCUUUGUUGCUGGGGUCACAUGUUCUUGGUUCAGAGAACCUGGAUGUACCAUUCCCCAAGACUUGAUUCUUGUUCCCAACAGACACUGAAGUAUCCUGGCAAAUGAGACUGGAUCCUCAUGCAGUCUGGAUAGAUGUCCACAGAAAAUGCUAAUGUGCGAUUUUGCCUGGAGAAGAGGUGCUAUUGAUUUUGUCAAACGUGGAAUUCCUCAAAGUACAGUCAUCAACAUUCUUCAUGCAUUGUGGAAAUUAGAUCUUUUGCACA
rnacentral:lncRNA from 1 species